rnacentral:lncRNA from 1 species
UUUCGUCAAGAACGAAUUUGUGUUUCUCACAGCUGAGAACUAUCAACAAGUUCCAUUUCUAUUCUCAAAAUUUAUCCCUAUUUAAUUUAUUCUCAGAAAGAAUGCUAAUAAGAGGAGUAGGAGACAUAUUUGAACUAAAAAAAUAAAGAUUUCACUAAUUACUUUGUAUUAAGAAAAUAUUUUUCAUUGCAACAACAUAUCGAGAAUGCAGUGUGAUGCAUGCGUCUUGUAUUAAAACCUUGAAAAAAUAUUUUUCCGUUGCUACGAUCAUUCCCACACCCA